CUGAGUGCCUCACGCAAGUUCGGUGACCUCUGCCCAGCCGAGAGCAGGGGAGGGUCCCGCGGCCAGGGCCCCGAGCGGCUCACCCUCCACGGCGUGGUUCACCUCUUGGAUGAACAGCUGCAGCUUCAUCACCAGGGUGGCUGCGUGGCCAUCCGCCUUCCCGGACGCCGCCUCCUUGGAGCCGGCCCUGAAGGCCGCAUUGAUCCACUCCUUCACGUCGAAGUCGUCUGCCAGGAACUUGGAGAAGUCCAUGGCGGAACUGCCUCAGGCCUGGCGUCCAGAACUUAAGAGUUGGCUCCGGGCGGCAACGGGGAUGCAGAAGCGAGCGAGCCUGCGAGAGCACCGAGGCUAGCCUCCGAGGCGAACCCCAGAAACGCCAGGACGGGUAACUUGCCCCUUUGCGCUUCCCCGCUCAGCGCACUCAGUUUGCGGCUGGGAAUGACCCUCGCCGCCCGCCGUUCUUCUUCCGGAAGUCGUUGGCCGUUACCAUAGUGACUGCAGGCGUCCGGAGCGCUGAGCAGAGGUGCAGUGGCUCAUGCCUGCAAUCCCAGCACUUUGGGAGGCCGAGGCAGGAGGAUCACAAGGUCAGGAGUUCCAUACAAGACUAGCCUGCCCAACAUGGUGAAACCCCGUCUCUACUGAAAAUACAAAAACAGCCUGGCGUGGUUGUGUGCACCUGUAAUCCCAGCUACUCAGGAGGCUGAGGCAGGAGAACUGCUUGAACCCGGGAGGCAAAGGUUGCAGUGAACAGAGAUCGGGCCACUGUUAUCCAGCCUGGGUGACAGAGUGAGACUCCAUCUCAAAAAAUAAAUAAAUAAAAUAAGUAUUUCCUUUUAAUGCUAA